rnacentral:rRNA from 1 species
CCUACGGGAUGCAGCAGUGGGGAAUAUUGCACAAUGGGCGCAAGCCUGAUGCAGCCAUGCCGCGUGUAUGAAGAAGGCCUUCGGGUUGUAAAGUACUUUCAGCGGGGAGGAAGGUGUUGUGGUUAAUAACCACAGCAAUUGACGUUACCCGCAGAAGAAGCACCGGCUAACUCCGUGCCAGCAGCCGCGGUAAUACGGAGGGUGCAAGCGUUAAUCGGAAUUACUGGGCGUAAAGCGCACGCAGGCGGUCUGUCAAGUCGGAUGUGAAAUCCCCGGGCUCAACCCGGGAACUGCAUCCGAAACUGGCAGGCUUGAGUCUUGUAGAGGGGGGUAGAAUUCCAGGUGUAGCGGUGAAAUGCGUAGAGAUCUGGAGGAAUACCGGUGGCGAAGGCGGCCCCCUGGACAAAGACUGACGCUCAGGUGCGAAAGCGUGGGGAGCAAACAGGAUUAGAUACCCUCGUAGUC